rnacentral:rRNA from 1 species
CACACUAUCAUUAACUGAAUCCAUAGGUUAAUGAGGCGAACCGGGGGAACUGAAACAUCUAAGUACCCCGAGGAAAAGAAAUCAACCGAGAUUCCCCCAGUAGCGGCGAGCGAACGGGGAGGAGCCCAGAGCCUGAAUCAGUGUGUGUGUUAGUGGAAGCGUCUGGAAAGGCGCGCGAUACAGGGUGACAGCCCCGUACACAAAAAUGCACAUAUUGUGAGCUCGAUGAGUAGGGCGGGACACGUGGUAUCCUGUCUGAAUAUGGGGGGACCAUCCUCCAAGGCUAAAUACUCCUGACUGACCGAUAGUGAACCAGUACCGUGAGGGAAAGGCGAAAAGAACCCCGGCGAGGGGAGUGAAAAAGAACCUGAAACCGUGUACGUACAAGCAGUGGGAGCCUCUUUAUGGGGUGACUGCGUACCUUUUGUAUAAUGGGUCAGCGACUUAUAUUCUGUAGCAAGGUUAACCGAAUAGGGGAGCCGAAGGGAAACCGAGUCUUAACUGGGCGUUAAGUUGCAGGGUAUAGACCCGAAACCCGGUGAUCUAGCCAUGGGCAGGUUGAAGGUUGGGUAACACUAACUGGAGGACCGAACCGACUAAUGUUGAAAAAUUAGCGGAUGACUUGUGGCUGGGGGUGAAAGGCCAAUCAAACCGGGAGAUAGCUGGUUCUCCCCGAAAGCUAUUUAGGUAGCGCCUCGUGAAUUCAUCUCCGGGGGUAGAGCACUGUUUCGGCAAGGGGGUCAUCCCGACUUACCAACCCGAUGCAAACUGCGAAUACCGGAGAAUGUUAUCACGGGAGACACACGGCGGGUGCUAACGUCCGUCGUGAAGAGGGAAACAACCCAGACCGCCAGCUAAGGUCCCAAAGUCAUGGUUAAGUGGGAAACGAUGUGGGAAGGCCCAGACAGCCAGGAUGUUGGCUUAGAAGCAGCCAUCAUUUAAAGAAAGCGUAAUAGCUCACUGGUCGAGUCGGCCUGCGCGGAAGAUGUAACGGGGCUAAACCAUGCACCGAAGCUGCGGCAGCGACACUAUGUGUUGUUGGGUAGGGGAGCGUUCUGUAAGCCUGUGAAGGUGGCCUGUGAGGGUUGCUGGAGGUAUCAGAAGUGCGAAUGCUGACAUAAGUAACGAUAAAGCGGGUGAAAAGCCCGCUCGCCGGAAGACCAAGGGUUCCUGUCCAACGUUAAUCGGGGCAGGGUGAGUCGACCCCUAAGGCGAGGCCGAAAGGCGUAGUCGAUGGGAAACAGGUUAAUAUUCCUGUACUUGGUGUUACUGCGAAGGGGGGACGGAGAAGGCUAUGUUGGCCGGGCGACGGUUGUCCCGGUUUAAGCGUGUAGGCUGGUUUUCCAGGCAAAUCCGGAAAACCAAGGCUGAGGCGUGAUGACGAGGCACUACGGUGCUGAAGCGACAAAUGCCCUGCUUCCAGGAAAAGCCUCUAAGCAUCAGGUAACAUCAAAUCGUACCCCAAACCGACACAGGUGGUCAGGUAGAGAAUACCAAGGCGCUUGAGAGAACUCGGGUGAAGGAACUAGGCAAAAUGGUGCCGUAACUUCGGGAGAAGGCACGCUGAUAUGUAGGUGAAGCGACUUGCUCGUGGAGCUGAAAUCAGUCGAAGAUACCAGCUGGCUGCAACUGUUUAUUAAAAACACAGCACUGUGCAAACACGAAAGUGGACGUAUACGGUGUGACGCCUGCCCGGUGCCGGAAGGUUAAUUGAUGGGGUUAGCGGCAACGCGAAGCUCUUGAUCGAAGCCCCGGUAAACGGCGGCCGUAACUAUAACGGUCCUAAGGUAGCGAAAUUCCUUGUCGGGUAAGUUCCGACCUGCACGAAUGGCGUAAUGAUGGCCAGGCUGUCUCCACCCGAGACUCAGUGAAAUUGAACUCGCUGUGAAGAUGCAGUGUACCCGCGGCAAGACGGAAAGACCCCGUGAACCUUUACUAUAGCUUGACACUGAACAUUGAGCCUUGAUGUGUAGGAUAGGUGGGAGGCUUUGAAGUGUGGACGCCAGUCUGCAUGGAGCCGACCUUGAAAUACCACCCUUUAAUGUUUGAUGUUCUAACGUUGGCCCGUAAUCCGGGUUGCGGACAGUGUCUGGUGGGUAGUUUGACUGGGGCGGUCUCCUCCUAAAGAGUAACGGAGGAGCACGAAGGUUGGCUAAUCCUGGUCGGACAUCAGGAGGUUAGUGCAAUGGCAUAAGCCAGCUUGACUGCGAGCGUGACGGCGCGAGCAGGUGCGAAAGCAGGUCAUAGUGAUCCGGUGGUUCUGAAUGGAAGGGCCAUCGCUCAACGGAUAAAAGGUACUCCGGGGAUAACAGGCUGAUACCGCCCAAGAGUUCAUAUCGACGGCGGUGUUUGGCACCUCGAUGUCGGCUCAUCACAUCCUGGGGCUGAAGUAGGUCCCAAGGGUAUGGCUGUUCGCCAUUUAAAGUGGUACGCGAGCUGGGUUUAGAACGUCGUGAGACAGUUCGGUCCCUAUCUGCCGUGGGCGCUGGAGAACUGAGGGGGGCUGCUCCUAGUACGAGAGGACCGGAGUGGACGCAUCACUGGUGUUCGGGUUGUCAUGCCAAUGGCACUGCCCGGUAGCUAAAUGCGGAAGAGAUAAGUGCUGAAAGCAUCUAAGCACGAAACUUGCCCCGAGAUGAGUUCUCCCUGACUCCUUGAGAGUCCUGAAGGAACGUUGAAGACGACGACGUUGAUAGGCCGGGUGUGUAAGCGCAGCGAUGCGUUGAGCUAACCGGUACUAAUGAACCGUGAGGCUUAACCUUACAACGCCGAAG